AGCGAACGCUGGCGGCAGGCCUAACACAUGCAAGUCGAACGAACCUUUCGGGGUUAGUGGCGGACGGGUGAGUAACACGUGGGAACGUGCCUUUAGGUUCGGAAUAACUCAGGGAAACUUGUGCUAAUACCGAAUGUGCCCUUCGGGGGAAAGAUUUAUCGCCUUUAGAGCGGCCCGCGUCUGAUUAGCUAGUUGGUUGAGGUAAUGGCUCACCAAGGCGACGAUCAGUAGCUGGUCUGAGAGGAUGAUCAGCCACAUUGGGACUGAGACACGGCCCAAACUCCUACGGGAGGCAGCAGUGGGGAAUCUUGCGGAAGGGGCGAAAGACUGACGCAGCCAUGCCGGGUGAAUGAUGAAGGUCUUAGGAUUGUAAAAUUCUUUCACCGGGGACGAUAAUGACGGUACCCGGAGAAGAAGCCCCGGCUAACUUCGUG
rnacentral:rRNA from 1 species